CCAGAGAGCUCUCUCACCCUCUUUCUGCCAUGUGAGGAAACAGCAAGGAAUUGGCAUUCUGCAACUCAAAAAAGGAUCCUCCCUGGACCCCAACCCUCCUUCCCCCAGAGUUGUUGCAUACCACAGCCUUGCACACAUAAAUACCUUUAUUACACAGUUCUGUCUAAUGAAUGAUAAAUCAACUUAUCUCCUAUUCUACAAGGAUGAACAGGACAGUACUACAUGCUUUUAAACAACCAGAUCUCAUGGUAACUCACUCACUUUCAUAAGAACAGCAUCAAAGGGAUGGUGCUAACUCAUUCAUGAGAACCCUGCCUCCAUCAUCCAAUCACCUCCUGUUAGGCUCCACCUCCAAAACUGGGGAUUACAAUUUGACAUGAGAUUUGUUGGAGAUGCAGAUCCAAAAAUAUCGCCCCCUUUUCUUUACUGUCUAGGGGCCCCAAGUCUGAGCCGCGUAUGGGUGAUAGUAGGUUUCUGGGAACCCUGAGGAAUACUGGAAGGUUCCAUGGGUCCACUUGUGCCUUCAGUAUCUCCUGCUCCAGGUUGAGGCUCAAUCCCCUCC
rnacentral:lncRNA from 1 species